rnacentral:rRNA from 1 species
GAGCCUUAACAAGCCCAACAACCAACCACUAACAACCACCACUAACAACCAAAACAUUUGCCACAGGAAGUAGCUGAGAACGAACCCACUGAAUUGACGCUAUAGAGAAAGUACUGUGAAGGAAAAAUGAAAGAACAACACUAAAGCAAAAAAAAGCAGGAAUAAACCCCCGUACCUUUUGCAUCACCGCUUAGCAAGAAUGCACAGACAAGACGACAUCAUGCCUGCCAACCCGAAUGUAAGUGAGCUAUUUUUGGGCAGUAUUAGAACUAACCCAUUUCUGUAGCAAAAGAACGGGAAGACCUGAAAAUAGAAGCGAAAAACCAAUCGAACCUACAGAUAGCUGGUUGCCCGAUAAACGAAUAUAAGUUCGACCUUGGGGGACACAAUAGGUAAAUAAUAUAAACUACACCCAAGAACUAGUCAAUGAAGGUACAGCUCCAUUGACACAGGAUACAGCCUCAAACAGAGAGUAAAACCCACCACCACAAAUAGUUGGCUUCAAAUCAGCCACCAAAAAAUAUCACGUCACAGUAACAAUAAAAAAAAUACGACAUCACAUCACCUCCUGUUUUACACCCGGGCCAUCCUAUAAUAAAAUACAUAGAAGAGACUAUGCUAAGACUAGUAAUAAGAGACCCUCUCAGGACAAAACUCCAACCUUAUCAGACCAACAACUGGUGAUAUAAAACAUAAUUUACACGCCAUAGAACACACUGUAAGACCAACCCAGGAUUGUCAACAUGAAAGACUAAAAACCUAAAAAGGAACUCGGCAAAUAUCUUUCCAACUGUUUACCAAAAACAUAGCCUUUAGUAACUAAAUUAAAGGUACCGCCUGCCCAGUGAGGGUUAAACCCUUAAACGGCCGCGUAUAUAAACGUGCAAAGGUAGCAAAAUCAUUUGUCCCUUAAAUGGGGACCAGCAUGAAAGGCAACAUGAGAAAGAAACUGUCUCCUUAGGCCAGUCAAUGAACCUGAUCUGCCUGUACAAACGCAGACAUAAAAAAACAAGACAAAAAGACCCUGUGAAACUUCAAAUGUUCGUCACACACAUGACCAAAACAUUUUUGGUUGGGGCAACCAAAGAGAAACAAAAACCUCUAAACCGUUACACGGCAAACAAGCCAACUGACUGCCAAAACUAGACCCAGUAAAACUGAUCAAAGAACCAAGCUACUCCAGGGAUAACAGCGCUACAUUCUUGAAGAGUCCUUAUCAACAAGAAUACCUACGACCUCGAUGUUGGAUUAGGGUAUCCUAAUGGCGCAAAAGUCAUUGAAGGUUCGUUUGUUCAACGAUUAAAACCCCACGU